CAAUAACGACAGGAAAAGGUUUGCUGGUGGGAAUUUCGUUGGUGACUCAAAAGAACAACAAAAAGCAUUGAGCUAAAGCUAGCUAGCUAUAUCACACCAAACAAAUGUGUGUAAGUUACUGUACAUGGAUCGUUCAAGACGAUCCAGCUAACGCGACGUGACUCAACGUUUUGACCCUCACCUCUCUCUGCCACCAGUAGCAGCUAUAUCCAUUUAGUAGCAAGUGACUCGAAACUUAGCAUCAGCCUUAUAUAAUAAAAUAAAGACCAGUAUACGGUUGGUUCAGUCAAUAUCCGACCUUAAACAGUAAGACGGAUAAUCAUUUCACUGCAUUAAUUCAUUUUUCUUAGUCGUCCACAAUAUUUAAUUAAUGAACAUAGACGGUGUGGGCGUAGAGGAUACGUGUGCUAGCUGUUUUCCAAGUACAAGCGGUCUUAUCUGACGUUACCUGACCAUCGCUCCAGCUAGCUACCUUUCGCCAGGUUAGUUGUAAAUAAGGGCAACCAACAAGUAACGUUAGAUACCAUUAGCUAGCUAGCUAGCUGCCUUCCUUCAAUACUUGGUGGCUUUACUGACAGACAAGACAUAACUCAUAUUAAAAGCCACCAACCAUCGACCUAAAGGCUAAGCUAGCUAUCAUACCAAAAAAGUGUGUGUGUGCCUGUACAACAAGGAUCCUUCAAAACUAUCCAGCCCCAGCUAACACGGCUUGACAUACCACGUUUUGACCAUCACCCUCUCUCUGCCAUCAGUGUUAAGUUGGCUGGAGGAGGUGCAGAUGACAAGAAGAAGAUAAAGGAGGGGGGGAGGCCACCACUACAGCGUCUGUACGGAGUUUCUGUUACACACAUUUGAUUUACAGCUACAAAGUAAUGCCCACCCACUUCAACUGAUAUGUUGAGCCUUGGUCUAACUAAAACCACGUGUACUGUUCUCCCAUUCUCAAGGCAAAACUCCUGUGUGAGACCAAGGCCAUUCCCAACCUGAUAUACAGUAUAGAGCAGUAUGAGAAAUACCUCAUCAACCUCUCCAAGAAAUCAAAGUUAUGUAUGGGAGUGCUUUGGGAUGGGAGAUUGUCUCAAAUUGAAUGUAAGUGUCUACUUGUAACCAAACAUAAAGCAAGAUGAGGACACACAAUAGAAGAUAGAGCCUUGUGGGACAUUUCAGUAAAAUAACAUCUCCACAAACUAAACAUACACUGCAUUAUUGUAACAAGAUAAAACGGGUGUCUGUGUGUUGCGUAGGUGAAUCUUAUUCAGUACAUGAAGCUGAGAGAUUUCUGCAGGAGCAGGACAAGUCAGCAUCAACCAUAACACUGACACACAUGACAGCUAUCCAAAACAUUGGUUUAGUCUCCUAUUCACUCAGCUCCAUCAUGACCUGUCACACCAAAUUUACUUAUGCUUUAUUAGUCCUGCCCAUACGCCCGCAUUCCUCACAUCGUCCUGUUCAAUAGCACAUAUCACAUUUAUAAGUUAUAACUCCAUGGAUACAUUUUUCUUUUGGUUCUCCUAUUUUUCCCCAGACCCAAUGGUGUGAGCUAAAGUAUGUGUCUGACACCACAUAUCCAAUUGCGUGUUGAAGAGGAUAAGUGCUGCUUUGGAUCUUUUCCUUCUUUAGACCACAGCCUCUCAGGAGCCAGAGCAGAGCCAGGAGCCCAAGAGGAAGCAGUGAUGGAAAACAAUACAUGUUUUUCCCUCUAAACCGCUCAAUAGACUCCUCUCUCAACCAGUCUGGAGCUGCCCCCAUUCAUUCGGAUGAUCCACUGAAAUGGGUUGUGUUCAUUUGGGCUAACUGUAGCAAAAUAAUUGCAGCCAAAAACAAAUUAGCCCUUAAAAAAAAAAAUUU